AAGUAUCUUUCUUCCUCUGAACUCGACUCCGGAAGGCCUGAGUUUAAUGAGGUUGUGGUUUCUGGUGUGUUUUUUUUAAAGAGGACGUGAUGCAAAUUCAGUGUCUCGGGGUCCUGCAUAAAUACUGUGUUCUCCUGGACGGCACACUAUGAAAAGGGAGCAGGCCAAGGUCCUGGUGUCUUUGCAGUUACCCUCAGAAACCCCUCCAACACCAGCAACAUGAUAUCGUGGCUGAAUCUUCUCUUUGCUCUAGCCGCCCUUCCAGAUGUCCGGUCCCAGGUUCUUCUGGUGGAGUCCGGAGGUGGAAUUCAAAAGCCCGGGGGAUCUCUCCGCCUCUCCUGCAAAGCCUCCGGUUUCACCCUCAGCAGCUACUUCAUGAGCUGGGUCCGUCAGGCACCCGGGAAGGGCCUGGAGUGGGUCUCACGGAUAUACAACCCUGCUAAUAGCCUCAGUACGUUUUACAGUGAUGCGGUUAAAGGGCGAUUCACCAUCUCCAGAGACGACUCCAACAGCCUGGUGUAUCUGCAGAUGAACAGCCUGAAAGCGGAAGACACCGCCCGGUAUUACUGUGCGAGAGACACAGUGAUCAGAAAUCAACUGCAGUGAAUACAAAAACCUCUUCCUCAAAUCCAAACAGCUCUCGGCGCCAGCAGACAGCAGCAGGCACUGACACAGCAGAGCAGUUUAGACACAGAUACAUAGAUUGUAAAGUCUCCAGCCCUUCAUCGGGGCUUCCGUCCUCUGAAAACGCACAUUGGCAAUUAAAGACUCACUAUGUUGACAGAAUAGAGAGAAUCUUAUUUAGUGGCUGGCAAUGCAGAAAUAGAAUCAGCCUCGGUUACUAUGAAUAAUUAGCUUUCUGCCCUUCAACCUGCCUUGUGAACAGAACUACGAGGAAGAAAUGCCAGAGACAUUAUAUAGAGUCUGUUUGCCAGAAGCUGGGAAUGGGCGACAGGGGAUGGAUCACUCUGUGAUUCCCUGAUCUGUUCAUUCCCUCUGGGGCACCUGGCACUGGCCACUGUCGGGAGACACGAUACUGGGCUAAGGGACCUUUGGUCUGGCCCAGUCUGGCUGUUUUAUGUUCUUUAGAGUCGUGGUGGACCCGCCCUAGAAUUUUGCACACCGUAAUUUUGUCACUAUCUGCACAGACCUGCAGAAGGCUGGAUGGUGCUCCUGGAGUGCAUUGUCUCUGUUGAGCGCAUUGUCUCUGUCUGCUCUUUAAUGGAUAAGCACAAGCUGGAGAAGAGCUAAGGAUGAGUU